AGGAAAUCCUAGUUCUUUUAUUUUGGAAACAAUGACUUUUCUACCACUUAAGUAACUUUAAAAAGCUUUUUUGUUAUUUAGUUUAUUAAGUUUCAAAAAUCACUUAAAUAGCUAACCCUACUCAGUAUUCUGCUUACAUUAUACUACACAGCAUGUAUAUCUAUACUUUUUUACCUACUACUAGAUUGUUUGAGCUGUGAUAGUGUUUUGCGGUAGUUUUUUUUUUCUUCCAAGUUUUUAUUUAUAUUCCAGUUAGUUAAUAUAUAGUGUAAUAUUAGUUUCAUGAGUAGAAUUUAGUGAUUCAUCACUUACAUGUAACACUCAGUGAUCAUCACAACAAAUGCCCUCCUUAAUACCCAUCAUCCAUUUAGCCCAUCCCCCUGCCCACUCCCUCUGCCUCAGGUUUUUUUAAAGCCAUUCUGCUCCCUUGCAUUUAACUCCUCUCUUCUUUAAAUAAAUUCUCUAUUAAUAUAUUUUCCUUUUUCUGUAUCUCUAAAGCCUCAAAUGUGAAUUUCUAGUUCUGAUUUUUUAAUAUACCAGUGAAUGGAAAUAGGUAACAGGUUUAUUAGUUUAGUGAACGAUAUUCUGGUUAGUUGUGGAAAAUUCUGUUGAAACUCUUAGCAGUCCCUAUACUUUUGGUGAGGGCUCAGACCAGGUUCUCCAAAUGUCUGUUGACCAUUUCAACUGGGAUUUCUUCUUGUGGAUGCCUCAUAUUCGUGUCUAAAUCUAAAUUCCUCUUCACCCAAAUAAUUUUCACUCUCAGACUUGAGAUUUCAUGUUCACCUUUGACUCCUUUUUUCUCCUUCACCCCUUGUUUCCAGGUGAUUGUCAAGGUUGAUAGAACACUAUCAUUUCCCUUGCUUCUGUCAUCUUUCAGUCUAAUUGCUGUUGUUCUUCUCCAUGUCAGUAUUGGCUCAUGUCUGCAGCAUUCUCCCAGUUGGUUUUUCUAUACUCUUUGGUUAAGUAAUCUUCUGAAAACACUAAUAUGAUGGGCACACUUUCUUGUUCAGAAACCUUAGACUCCCUAUUGCCUUUCUCAGUCACAGUCAAUUUUUUGGUUAGUAUAAAAAACUGAGCUGGUUGAUUGGUUAUGGGGGUUCCUAGUGGGAAACCUGAUGUAGCCAGUGCCUUCCAUCCAGGUAUAUAAGGUAGUCUGUUAGGUAUAACAGCAGAUAAAUGAUUGAUAAGGCUAGAUAAUUUGGACCAAUGCUUUACUGAUUACAGUGUAAAAAAUGGACAAGGUUGCUAAUAAAAAGUGUAAGGAAUUAUAGGAUCACAGUGGGAGAGAAGGAAACCCAGAGAGGGGAGUCUAGCACUUGAGCCAUUUCUCCACUAGGGGCCCCUGUUUAUUCUGGAAAAGAAAGCUAAUUGGCCGAGAAUUUAAUAGAGUUUUGAUGGGCUUGUGGGGGUAGGGCGAUAAAAAUUGGGAGAUUAGAGUCCAUCAAACGUGAAGGAUCACAUCCCAACAGUAGCAAAAGUAGUAAGUUACCGACUGUUGUCACUGGAGCCUGAUUCCUGACUGCAUUAAGGUGGUGUGGAUUGGCUAGUGCCUCUAGUUGCUUACCAGAAGCAAAAGUAAAUUGUCUCUGAGAAAGAUAACAUUAUCUGAGGCAUCAGAUGGUUCUCUGAUUUUUCAUAAACAGUAUCUGGCACUCCAUCAGAAAUAACUAGUCAUGUUAGGAGGUGAGCAUAAAAGUAAAAGAAAUGGUAAAAUCCAUUUCCGGACAAGAAUUGAGAGAAUCCAUCAUCAGUAGUCUCUCACCUGAAAGAAGUAAUGAAGAGUGUUGUUCAGAUAGAAAGAAUAUGUUCCUAGAUGAAAACUUGGAGAAUCAGGUAGAAAUGAAGAACAAUAGAAGAUAAAUGUGUGAGUGUAGAAUAAUAAUGAUAAUGUCUUAUAGAGUGUACAAAUCUAUGUAAUCAAAACACAUGACAAUUACAUGUAAGGUGGAAGGGAGUACCUGGGUGUCAAAUGUUCUAAGGCCCUUGCAUUGUGUAGAAAGAGGUGAAAUACUAAGUUAGACUGAUAACAAGGAUGCAGUCUGUAAUUUUAGGGUAACCACUAAAAGAAUGGUAAAAGAAAGUAUAAUUAACAGGUAACAGAGGAAGAAAAUGGAAUAACUUAAAAAUAAUCAAGGAAAUCAAGGAAGGAUUAAAAAAAAAGGACAGAGAACAGAUGGAACACAUAGAAAACAAAUAGUAAGGUAAUAAAUUUAAACUUCAGCAUAUCAAGCAAGGGCCACCUGGGAGGCUCAGUCGGUUAAGCAUCCGAUUCUUGGUUUUGGCUCAGGUUAUGACCUCACCGUUUGGGAGUUUGAGCCCGAUGUUGGGCCCUGCGCUGCCAGGGUGGAGCCUGCUUUGGAUUUUCCCUCUCCCUCUCUCUGCCCCUGCCCUAUUUGCGCUCCCCCUCAAAAUAAAUGAACUUAUUAAAAAAAUCAUUUAAAAAUAAACUUCUGUGUAUCAAUUAUUAUGUGAAAUGUUAAGACUACCGUAUUUAAAAAAGUAAGCAGAUUAUCAAACUGAAUGCAAUUCUGCAACCUUAUGAAAUGCUGCUAAUAUGAGGCAGCAUAUUUAGCAUAAUUUUAGACAGAAGGAUUGAAAAUAAAUGAUGGAAAAAGGUAUACCAUACAAACAUAAGCCUGAAAGAAAGAUGAUAUAGCUACAUUGAUAUCAUAAAAAGUAGACUCAGAGCAAGAGGUAUUAUUGUAUAUAAAGAGAACUUGUUUUAGGUUUAUUUAUUUUUGAGAGAGAGAGUGCACGCGUGCAAGUUGGGGAGGGAUAGAAAGAGGGAGAGAGAAUCCCAAGCAGGCUCUGUGCUACCAGCAUAGAGCCCGAUGCAGGGCUCGAACCCACGAACCGUGCAAUCAUGACCUGAGCUGAAAUCAAGAGUCGGACACUUAACCGACUGAGCCAUCCAGUUGCCCUUCAAGAGAACUUUUUAUAAUAAAAAGUUCCAGUUCCAGGAAGGUAUGUAACAUUUCUAAAAUGUGUAUGCCCCCAAUAACAUAACCCCUAAAAGGAUAAACAGACACAUCCAUAAUCAUAGUGAGAAGUUAACACAGUGAUGUUAGCAGCAUUUAUCUCAAGAAAUUAGAAAAAGAAUACUGAUGAAACCCAGAGAAAGAAUUAAGUCACAAUCUUUGCUAGUAGACCGUUGAAAUGAUCAGAAGUAUUCAGGAAACUGUGGUACAAAACAGAGUAAGAAAAGUGCCAUGACAGACUAACAGUGUAAUAGUCACAGCCAGAUGGAGGAGUAGAGAGGAGGCAGCAUUAAAAAUGAUACGUCAUGAAGAAUGGGUAGAUGUUUGGGGAGGGAGCAUUUUUGGGCUAAGAAAGCUUCAUAAACAAAGGCAGUUUCUGGGGAGGUUUGGGUAGCAAAGAGAGGUCCUGUGAAGAUAGAUGUGGUGUUUGAGGGAAACUGGGAGGAGAUUAGGCGGAAAAAGGGCAGAUUGGAACCAAACUGUAGAAGCCCUUACGUACCAGGAGUUGCAUCUUAGGUCAAUGUAGAAUACAAAAGAUUAUAUAAAUAUAAAUCGGUUGCAGUAGACCAGGUGAACUACAGGUCCACAGUUCCUUAUCUGAAAUUCUAAAAUCCAAAAAAAAGCUUUGAAAGUGUAUUUUGCUUUUUGUAAGUUUGGUGUCAAAACUCAUGUUGUAGUAAAACUUGAUUUAAACUCGUGAGGAACUUGGUGGGAACAUUUACAUAUUUUUUUUUCUCAGAAAUAUCCGUGUGUUACGAAUUUCUCCCAAAAGAUCAGUGUGUUGCUAUUCCCAGUCUCUACUGCAUAUUCCCAAUCUCUACACGUAACAUAUUGUGUAGAUACCAUGAUACCUUCUGAAUCUGAAAGGUUCUGAAUUAAUGGCACACCUCUAGCCCCAGGAAUCUGGGACAAGAAAUUGUGGACUUGUUGGUAAGGAGAAGGGAGAAAGCAGCAUCUAGAAUGUGUUGCAGGGAUCAGAGAAACAGAAUAGCUAAAACCGUGACCAGUUGGAAGAGAGGCAGGGUGAGUGGAUUGAGAGAUCGAUAUGGUUUCCAUAGAGAUGUUGGCAGUUGCCAAAGGGGACUUGAGAGAGAGGGAAGGAAGAUAAUGGUUUGAGAACGUUCAGGUCUGCAAACAUUGAAUGUCCAUGUGUGAGCAAAUGUGCUAGAUGCUAAGGCUGCAGGGAUAAUUAAGAUGCAGGUUUAUUCUUUAGUACUGUUUAGGGGAAAGGUGUAAUGAUCGUUUUAAUAUAUUAGAAUGUGACGAGUAAUAGGAUAGAGGUAGGAAAUGAGUCACAAGUCUUGCUAAUUUUCCCCCGUGUGAAGUGUCUCAGAUUGAUCCCAUGCCAUGUCCCUAGUUUAGGUCCUCAUUGGGACUUGGCUGAAAAAUAGAAAAAGAUUUCUAAUUUGUAUCUUGGCCAUGCAGCUUGCCUUAGUCCGUUUUGUUUAUUUUUCAGACUUAUCUAUUUUCUUAACCUUUUGACUCUAUUUACCUAAAGAGCAAAGACCAUACUCCUUAACAAUUAGGAUUUCAAGGCUCUUCACACUGUGAACUCGGCAAGAUAGUGUAACAUUAUUUUGUUAUUAAAAUUUAAAUGGGCUGUGUGUUUUCAUCCUUAUGUGUUUUCUCAUUUGGUUUCUUUUGCCACUAUGAACAAUGGGGUUGGUGCCCCAUGCAGUUGAAAAUCUGAAUGUAACUUUUCACUUCCUCCAAACUUAACCACUAGUAGCCUAUUGUUGACUAGAAGUCUUACUGAUAACAUAAGCAGUUGAUUAACACAUAUUUUGUAUAUCAUAUGUGUUAUAUAUUGUAUUCUUACAAUAAAGUGAGCUAGAGAAAAAAAUGUCAAGAAAAUCAUAAGAGAAAAUACAUUUACAGUACUGUACCGUAUGGAAAAAAUCCGUGAAUAAGUGGACCCAUGCAAUUCAAACCCGUGUUGUUUGAGGAUCAUCUCCCCCCUUUCUGGAAAGGGGCGUUCUACUUGUCUGUUAGGGUUUGCUGAGCUUUUAAUUUUAACUCCAUUGUUCCCAAGAGGCUUAAUUAAUCACUUUCUCUUCUUUGCGUCUGUAGCAUUUUAUUUGUAUUGCUACCGUCGUCCUUAGUUGAGCACUUUGACGUCUAUUUAGUUACCGAGGAGGAUGCCAUCUGUGCAGCCUGUGAGCUCCUUGAGGGCAAGAAUCCUGACGUACUAGCGUUGGUUUCUUUUGGCCUGUUGUAGUCUUGAGCUCAGUUAAGUACUUAUUACAUAAAUAUUCUAGUCAUAAUGCCAUUAAUCGAAUGUUUGCAUUUCUCUUACUUAUGGGAUGCACGGUAGGAGUAUAUGUCUCUAUCUCAUAGACGUUAGACUUAGCUAAGUGACUUGCUUUGGCCUGUGAAUUAUGGAAAGAAAGUGAAGUGUGUACGGUGAAGUGUGUACCCAAAGAUCUGAAGCCCUUAAGAUCAGCUGUCCGAUUUUCUGAAUUUCCCUUUGCCUGCUAAGUGUUUCAGAUGGUGGAGGCUUUCUUAUCCCGGGUCCCUGGGUAAGUAUGACAUAGAACAGACUUUCAAGAUGGGCCUGUAGCCUGAGGAAGAAAGCUUUGCUAUGUAUUUUUUUCCCAGUUUGAACUCAUUGAAAAAAUGUACAAACUUGGUUUUAGUGUAGUCGUGAAGUUGUGCAGCCAUCACUGCUAAUUUAUUUAUUUAUUUGUUUGUUUAUGUUUAUUUGUUUCUGAGACAGAGACAGAGCACGAGUGGGGGAGGGGCAGAGAGAGAGGGAGACACAGAAUUCGAAGCAGGCUGCAGGCUCUGAGCUGGCAGCACAGAGCCCGACGCGGGGCUCGAACUCACAAACUGUGAGAUCAUGACCUGAGCCGAAGCCGGUCGCUCAACCGACUGAGCCACCCGGGCGCCCCACAUCACUGCUAGUUUAAACAACGUUGUAGGUACCCUAGCAAGAAAACCGCUAGUCACCGGCAGUACUUUCCCACCCUCCCCUUCUCUCAGCCACUGGCAACCACUAAUCUGCUUUAAGGUUCAUUCCUCUUUAUAUCAUGCUUAGUACUUCAUUUCUUUUUACGGCUGAAUAACAUUGCAUUGUAUGCUUAUAGUACAUUUUAUUUAUUUUUAUUUUUUUAAGCUUAUUUAUUUAUUUUGAGAGAGAGACAGAGUGUGCACAAGUGGGGGGCGGGCAGAGAGAGAGGGAGAGAAUCCCAAGCUGACUCCACACUAUCAGCAUAGAGCCCAACUUGGGGAUCAAACCCACAAACCAUGAGAUCACGACCUGAGCCGAAAUCCAGAGUCAAACGCUCAAACUGACUGAGCCACCCAGGCACCCCUAUAGUACAUUUUAUUUAUCCAGACUUUGUUAUUUUAAGUCACUGAGAUAAGUAUUUGAGUUGACAGUAUUUAGAAUAUCCUAUUUGCCCCAACAUUUGGAUAAUUGAAUUUAAUGGAUAGAACAUUCUGUACUCUUAAAACUGUCUUAAAUGACACUUCCAUACUUUGAUUAUUUUUGUGUACAUCUGAAUCCAGAAUCCAUUAGAGCAAUCAUGAGGCAUUUUCCCCCAUGUAUUGUUGAUAAAUUUAUUGUAUACAUUAAUGCACUUUAUUCUUUUGAGAGUAUAUUUUCACUUUCACAACAACUAUUGAUGUUUUGAUCUAUUAGCUUUAUAGCCAGUAACCUGUUCACCAGUGUGUUCCUUCCAGCAGUUGGUCAGUGAUCUGGAGCUUGCGCUGUACAUCGUGUACGUGAAUAUUGUGUUUAAACAGGCUUGGUUCUCAGGCCAGGACAAUAACAUUGACGUGUUAGGAAUGGUACCGGUAAUACUAACCUGAGUUCAGGGUUCUGAGGAGAGGCCACAGAAACAGACAUGGGGAAGAAAGAUGUUGCAGUUUUUAUUCCCCAGUAGGGCUGAAUUUGGAACGGUUAGAUGAGUAUUUGUCAAGUAAUUGUGUUUAAACCAUUUAUUUUACUAAGAUUGGAGUAGUUUUAAUGUCUCGUGAGCUGAAUAUAUCUUGGUUGAGGUCAAUAUAAUUUGACUCCAGACCUAUUUGUAAUAAUGGAAAUUAAUAGAAACUAAACCACAAUUAGUCAACAUUAUUUAACUUUGUGUCGCUCUUCAGAGACACCAGAUUACAAAUAAAAGCUUUACUGCCAAACCGCCAACAAACUGAGCCAAAUUGUCUUGGUGUUUGAAGUCAGAGCAAGGGUUGCUUUGCUGUUUGUGUUUUGUCCAGUGGGUGGCAGCAUAACUCAACUGGUUGUCUUGGUGGCCAAUUUGAAAUUUUACGUAUUUUUUAGAGGCUAGAAUUUCUGUACUCUGUUUAACUACAGAGUGUGUUUUGAAAAAAACUUUCAUCCCCCGAAUAUGCUAUUUAAUCCUUACUGAGUGAGUAUGAUAUUUUUUAAACUUUCUUUUAAUGUUUAUUUAUUUUAUAGAGAGACAGAGUGCAAGCGGGGGAGGGAGAAAGAGGGAGACACAGAAUCCGAAGCAGGCUCCACGCUCUGAGCUGUCAGCACAGAGCCCAACAUGAGGCUUGAACUCACCAACCGCGAGAUCAUGACCUGAGCUGAAGUUGGAUGCUUAACUGACUGAGCCACCCAGGAGCCCCAGGAUGAUUUUAGAUAAUAAGAGAAUUGCCUAUUGUCUCUACAUAGAUUUCAAGUAAAAUAAUUAUCAUUGCCAACUGGUAGGCAGCUCUUCAUAUGUGUAUUUCACUGAAUUUUUUUUGAAAAAGUUAUUUUGAGAUCUAUUUUUUUAUCCAAACUGAAACUUAAAGCACUUGUUAUAGCAAAGUUGUUCUUGUCUCACUGAAUUUGCCAGUGAGAUACUUCAACCCUCUGCAGACCAUAAUUCUAGUAAGUUCACUGUCAGUUUUUCAAGACAGGGACUGUGUUUUCUUUUUAUAUGCCCUCAUGGGGCUUAACAUAGUGUCAGACUCAGAGAGAGAUCCAAUAAAAUACUUGUUGAUAAAAAGCAUGUGCUUGCUUUACAGCUGAGAUUACUAGAACCAUCUACUUGUUACUUAAAACAGCAUCCUGAAGAUGGAAUUUGUGAUUAGCAAGAGAGUCAAAUCACUCCAGUAAUGAAUAGAUGUUUGUAGUUAUUUAUGAUCACAGUGUAUACAGAGUACAAAUAUGAGUUGUAUUCUUUUUAUUUAUUUUUUAAAUAUUCAUUUAUUUAUUUUGAGAGAGAGAGAAUGAGGGAGGGGCAGAGAGAGAAUCCCAAGCAGGCUAAUGUGGGGCUCGAUCUCACAAACCGUAAGGUCAUGAACUGAGCGAAAGUCAAGAGUCCCCAGUUAUAUUCUUUUUAAAAUAAACUUUUUGUUUUGAGACAGAGUCAUGUAUUUAAAUUGGAAAAGAUAAGGGAAAAAGUUUUCUUUAAAAAAUAAGCAAAUAGGGAUAAGUGGUAAUUUUUGUUAAGUAUUAAAAGAGGUGAGGUGUGUAGAAAGUGAGAAGUCAUCCUAGUCCAUCUGACUUCUUUAGAUAUUUUCCUGUAUUAAGUAAUCCUUGAACCUUUUGUAACUGCCAUGUCACCUAGCUUAGUCACUGUUAAUGUGGGUAAGCUAUAGGAAUCAGGGUCACAGAGGCUGGACUUUUAAUUCAGUUUACUCUCAAAGACCCAGUGGAAACUUACAUAAAGGAACUGGAAUGGGGCGCUUGGGUGGUUCAUUUGGAUGAGGAUUCGACUCUUGAUUUCAGCGCAGGUCAUGAUUUCACGGUUCCUGGGAUUGAGCCUCGCAUUUGGCUCUGGGCUUCAGCACAGAGCCUACUUGGGAUUCUCUUUCUCUCCCUCUCUGUCUGCCCCUCCCCGACUCACUCUCUGUCAAAAUAAAUAAAUAAACUUAAAAAAAAAGGAACUGGAGAAUAGGUGUGGACUAUCCUUGUGCUGGGGCUCACGGGGAUUCUGAACUGUUAGUUCUACGUGGCCUUUAAUGAUUUGUUACCGUUUCUGUUGUUUUCUUACCAGCCUCUGUGGCUGCCAUCACUGAUGGAGAAACUGUUCAUGUGUCCAUUCUUUCCUUAGAUGAGCUGGUCACUUUUUAUUUUUUUUAUUUUUAUUAUUUUUAAAACAUUUUAUUUUUGGGAGGCACCUGGUGGCUCUGUCAGUUAAGCAUCUGGCUCUUGAUUUUGGCUCAGGUCAUGAUCUCACCAUUCAUGGGUUCGAGCCUGUGUCAGGCUCCAUGCUGACAGUGGAAACUGCUUGGGAUUCUCUUUCUCUCCCUCUCUGUUUCUGUCCCUCCCCUGCGUGCGACCUACAUGCUUGCCCUCUCUCAAAAUAAAUAAACUUUAAAAAAUAUAUAUAUAUAUCUGAUUUUUUUUUUUAAGUAAUCUCUACCUUCAACGUGGGGCUCAAACUCACGACCCCAAGACCAGGAGUCAUUUGCUCUACCAAUUGAGCCAGGCAGGCACUACGGAGCUGGUCACUCUUUAGAAUUCAUUUCACCUAGCUGGACAGUGCAGCCGUAAAAUACAGAGACCUCAGAUCCCUGAUGAGUUUGGAAAACUGAUUAUGUAUUUCAACUAGUUUUUUUGUUAUCAUGAGGGUGGGACUGAUGUUUUCUAGCAGCUUUCUGCAUUCUGAGUGGAUGUGGAACUUCCAUUACAUUUUAAUAACUUUAUAAUCACAACAGUGAUUUGACAACAGUCAAGAAGCUGUUACAUUUA